GAUGAAGAACGUAGCGAAAUGCGAUAAGUAAUGCGAAUUGCAGAAUUUCCGUGAGUCAUCGAAUCUUUGAACGCACAUUGCGCCCACUGGUAUUCCGGUGGGCAUGCCUGUUCGAGCGUCAUUAUCCUCCCUCAAACCCCGGGUUUGGUGUUGGACCGAAGUUGUGUGAACAACUGGUCUAAAAAACAAUGACGGCGUCCGUGGGACCCUCAGUGCAACGAGCUUUCACAAGCACGCAUUGAGUUGCAAGGACCCUCCGGGCCGGUCUACUGUAACAUUUUCUAAAAGUUGACCUCGGAUCAGGUAGGAAUACCCGCUGAACUUAAGCAUAUCAAUAAGCGGAGGA
rnacentral:misc_RNA from 1 species